rnacentral:lncRNA from 1 species
CAUUCGUACGGUGUGGAUGUGAGGAUUCUCAGAAGUCCCAUUCCCCUUGCACUCAACCUGCUCACCAGACAUGACCAGGGCAAAGUCCUUCUUGGACACUAGAAACCGAGCACUCCCUGCUGCAACGCAUUCAAUGUUCUCAUCCAAGUCUCACCUCUCCCUUCUCUUGACAGGACCCCUAGAGAAAGCACAGUGAUCAGACCAUUUUACAGAGAAGGAAACCAAAGACCAAGAGGGCUGGAUUCAGAAGACUGUCUCAGUGCCAGGCAGUGGCAAAGCCGGAAGGUGAGCCCAGGAAGCAGGCCCUGGAAAUAGUAAGGCGCACCUUUGAACAGCAUCGAGGGUCCCUGUGAACCAGGGGAUGCCAAGUGCUGCUUAGGGCGGCUCGGAGCGCCUCACUGCCAUCCCCUCCUCCCUCUGGCUGAGGAGUUUUAAGACCUCCUUCAGGACUCGGGGUGCAGCUGGUGGGAAGCCCUGGGUUCCGUCAAGCCUGCUUAGCCUGCAGGAGGCCUGAGUCGAUCUCUGGGUGCCUAAACCACGUUCCUGCGCCUUCCUGCCGGGGCCGCUUCACGGGCCUUCUGACCACAGGAAUCCCCACAGAAAGCCACAGCCAGGCCGGGAUUCCCAGCCGAGAGGCCUAGGAGGUAGUGCCAGGGGCCACCCACCUUGCACCUUUAUUGGCCAACUGGGUGAUAGGAUUUCUGCUCUCCACCUGCCCCAGAAGAGGCGCCAAAUUAUCACUCAGAUACAAAAUGAGUUCGCUCAGAAUCCAGAUCUAAUGAAUAUUGUCUGGCUUCUCUUCAGUUACAGGGGGACUGCAGGUGGAAAGUUGCUCCCGAGGUGGAACAAAUGGAGGAGCUUAGAAGGGAACAUUAGGAUUUCACUUUUGAACAUAGUUUUAGAAUCUAUUAAAUAUCCAGCUGUGGCAGAUCUUGGUAUUUCAAUACAGAGAUACAGAAGGCUUGGACCUUGUGGCCAUUGUCAAUAAUGAGCACAAGGUUUUGAGCAAAAGGAAAACUUUUAUUGCUUUGCUAGUAAAGGUGAAACACGGUUACUUUUGUUCCCUAAGCUGUAGUGAUGGACUGUUCUCUGCAGGAGGAACACAGGGUUUUUAUUUAUCUUUAAGUGAAUCAUCUUUAUUAAAAUGUGAUUGAAAGUAUUAGGGUAAAGAAAUCACCAUCACUGCUAAAGGGCUGCAAGUUUGAUGUGUGUGACUUUGUAACUGCUGAUACUUAUAAAAUGGUUUAGGGUUCAUUUGGUGGUUAACAGAGGAAUUCCUGUGUUUAACAAAAUGGCAAACAACAUGAACUGAAUAAUACUAGGAUUUUUAUUAGUGUAGAUAAUGUUAUAUUUGUAUCAUAUAAUUUAGGUUUGAGCUUUUUCUUCAGAGCCAUCAGUAUAACGGAUUGAAGUGAGUUUUCAGCAACUGCCACCUCUUGUUGAGUUUCUGUCAUAAUUUUUCCCUGCAACUCAGCCAUUGUUUUAAACUUUAUUUUGUUCACUGACAACAAGACUUUCAAGAUACUCCCCCAGGUCCUUGAUACGCAUAUAAAUUUUCAAUUUCUUUAAUUUUCUUGCACUGAACAAUUCUAGCUUGGAGGGGAAAAAAGGAAAAAAAAGCUUUUUUUUUUCAUCUUGAAAUAUAUUAGCUAGUUUCUCUUCUUUUCCCUCAGUUUCCUGUACAUCUAUGUCCCACUGUUGAAACAAAGGCAGAAAUUGCUGAGAAUAUUUGCAAUGAAGAUUGUGCCUUUUCGUUUGUGUUUUUCAAAUAUGCUCAAUUUUUCUUUAACGGCUUUGAGAGAAGCAUCUGUAUUUAUUUCAAACAAUAUUCUUGCAAGAAGAGCUUGUGUGACAUCAGCUCCAACUGCCUGUAACACCUUCUGUACAUCCUGCCCAUAUCUUGCUCAUGUCAUCCUGCAAAGGAGCUGCCCUCUCCAC